UACGAAGGGGGCUAGCGUUGCUCGGAAUCACUGGGCGUAAAGCGCACGUAGGCGGAUUGCUAAGUCAGGGGUGAAAUCCUGGAGCUCAACUCCAGAACUGCCUUUGAUACUGGCGAUCUCGAGUCCGGGAGAGGUGAGUGGAACUGCGAGUGUAGAGGUGAAAUUCGUAGAUAUUCGCAAGACACCAGUGGCGAAGGCGGCUCACUGGCCCGGUACUGACGCUGAGGUGCGAAAAGC
rnacentral:rRNA from 1 species